GGUGGUGUCGAAGGGUGCAAAUCUGGGGAGAGAGAUGAGCUCUGCUCCGUGCAGUCUGCUCCUGUGGGUCUCGCCCGAUGGAUGAGGAGUUCUGCUUUGGAGGCAGAGUGUAGAGGUAAACUAAGGCAGGCUGCCAGCGAGCGGUUCCUACAAGGCUCCCGAGCUCUGACAUUUGUUAACGCAGCAGUAAAUCACAGCGGCUCUUUGGGCAAGCUUUUUCCUGACAAAACGGCGGAGACGAGCAAAAGAGAAAAGAAGGCACAAAAAUGCAAAGGCUUUAUUUACACCGGAGAAGAGUAACUGUCCUGAAUGAGGCAGAUGGGGCACAAUGAGGGAAAACUCCAUCUCGAUCCCCUCCGCUCCCCCCAUCUCCCCUGUUCAUUGUUGGGCAAGAACUGAGAGGGGAAACAGUCUGAGGCUGAUACUGGCGGCUGAGGAAGGGGACGAGGAAAGCUCAGCUGGCCAGGUCAGUCAGGGAGAAACUUACUGAGAUGCCGAGGCCUUGGAAGCCUCAGAGUGAGUAGGAGCUUUGGUAAUGGUGGGAUUAUAACCCGAAAAUCUCUUGUCCUAAGCUCUUUUGGUUACUUUUGUCCCCCUGCACUGCAUUUUGGGGGGAGGACAUGUGACACACCCCCCUCACUUGGCAGCUGGCUGUGGUUUUGAGUGAGACGAUGGUCUGGGGAGGAAACAACUCAGUGUUAUCAAAUGGCGGGGGGAACUCACUCCAAAACAGCCCCUUCUGUGCCACCAUCUCCACCCCUUCCUCCUGUGCCUACCCCCAGCCCUGCUGCAGCAUGGGUAUUUAUUUAUCCCUGCCAGCUUUCUGUCUUCCCUCUUUCUCCUGGCUUAUUUAUGGCUGUCGCCUUUCAGCUCCCGGCCACUGCAGCCUGAACUUGGCCAUUAUGUGUGGCUCGUUGCAGAGGCCAUCAAUCUGCGGGGCCAGCACGCAGCCUGAUGGACUUCCCUCAUCAUCAUCAAUUUUCCCCAUCGUGCUGGUGCAUCCCUUUGGAUCUGGGGCAGCUGCACAUCUGCCCCUGGUGGCCUCUGCACUCCCACCCCUGGACACCCGCUUCGUCCUCACAGAAGCCUUUUGUCCUGGCAUGCUCACAGGCAUCAGGUGGGCCUGAAGCAUCCAAACAUUCAAACGUGGCUUGAGGUGGCUUCAAAGAGGUGACAGGAAUGCAUUGCACAGAAAAAGGGACGUUAUUUUGCUCUCCAUAAGCACUGUGGAGUCCUGCUUAGCCAGCUGGACUUUUAAGCUCUCUCUAAGUUUAAACUCAAAUUCUCUGUAUUAAGUAGGCAGCAAAGUUUUCCCUGUGCUAUAUCCUGGGUGCAGACAGAGGCGGGCUCUGCUGCCUUUGCAGAUGAGCCUCUCAAAGAGGCUGCUGAGCUGCAGCUGUUGCCUUUCUUGGCCCUGGGAAUGCUCCCAAGGUGUUUUGUCCAUCUUGCUGUGUGUGGGUGCUCUUGAAGCAUUGCACCUUGAUCUGUGAGGAGCCGGGCUGAGAGGGUGGCACUGCUUCAACUGCAAAUGGCAAAGCUCCCCCUCGUUUCAGCGGUGUCGGGAGAAUUAUUUGGGUACCACCAGCAGCAGGGAUCUGUUUUGAAGGGGAGGUAGAGUCGCUGCUGGGCUCUGCCUGCUCAGUGCUGGCAAUGCGAUAGCCCUGGGUUGUGCCAGUUUUUGAGAGGUGCAAAUCUCCCAGGGGAACGACAGGGAGAUGACACCCUGCUCAGCCCAGGUGUCUAAUGUCUCCUCGGAUUGUCCCAACCUUCUCUUCCUGUUAGGGGCAUGAAAGCAGCUGAAAAUGAGAAGGUAAUUCUUAGUGACUUGCAUGGUUUCAUCCCGAUUUAUCCAGAAUAAGUCAGAGCUGUAGUUCAGACUACAGUUCAGUACUGAAGUUCAGUAAAAAAAAAAAAAAAAAAAAAACGACACAAAAAAUCAGGAGAGCUGGAGAGCUGCUCCUGUGGUCUACUGGGUGCAUGUCUGGGGCUGAGGAAUGCUUUUUGUGGCUCUGUUGAUGCAAACAGGGCAGCUUGGCUCUGUGUGGGUGCCACUGCCCCAUCUCUACUGGGGAGUGGAGGCUGUGGUUUUUGUGGAAGCCAGGGAGGUGCCUGGUAUCUUUUGCCAGAGGGAUCAAAAUUUUUUUGGGCUGAAGCAAUGCAGGGCUGACCGCUGGUCAGCCAGGAGCAUUGCAGGAGCUUAAUUUCAUUAGAAGCACAGGUCAGAGUCCCUGGCGUGCCCCGUGGAUGCCGAGAGCAGCUUCUGGGAUGUUGACUCCUGCCAGUCUGAGUGUGUUACCGUGGCUCUGCUGCUGCCUUGUGGUGGGUGAUGCUGGCCUGUCACCGCCCGACCCGUGUGGGGAGGAGCAAAAGCCCAGGCUAGGUCUCGCUCAGCUGCUUCACGUUGCUGCCUCAUUUGAAAAUAACCCUGUGGCUGCAGUGGGUGAGCGGCCGGUGACAUCUCUCCUUCCCGUGGGUAUUUUUAGGAGUGGCACUUAGACUUGGCACACGUACAAGCAGCUGGAAAAUGCGCGGCAUUUCCU